GGAUGGCUUUGCGGCACCCAUUAUUUUGGCCAUACUCUACAUGAUAUUUUUGCCAAAUUUCAAGGUUGUCGUCCCCAAGUUCAGGAGUGUCCCUUCAAGCCCAAGGAAACAACAUCAUUCACUUCCAGAAGUUGGGCUUCAGUGAUUUCAGGAAGCUUAAUCCAUGGAUAAAGAAUUUAUGGAGCUUACUGUGUUGAGUAUUGUUCGUGAGCUUGCAUGCAUCCGGAUGUGCAUAUUACUUUAGGAAAACUAAUGAUUGAGCAAUGGUGUGUUUAUCAUGAACAAGAUUUUAAGGUUUGUUUAUGAAAUGAAUUAAACUCGUAAA